AUGAACGCUGGCGGCGUGCCUAAUACAUGCCAGUCGAGCGAACAGAUGAGGAGCUUGCUCCUCUAACGUUAGCGGCGGACGGGUGAGUAACACGUGGAUAACCUACCUAUAAGACUGGGAUAACUUCGGGAAACCGGAGCUAAUACCGGAUAAUAUAUUUAACCGCAUGUUUCAAUAGUGAAAGACGGUUUUGCUGUCACUUAUAGAUGGAUCCUCGCCGCAUUAGCUAGUUGGUAAGGUAACGGCUUACCAAGGCAACGAUGCGUAGCCGACCUGAGAGGGUGAUCGGCCACACUGGAACUGAGACACGGUCCAGACUCCUACGGGAGGCAGCAGUAGGGAAUCUUCCGCAAUGGGCGAAAGCCUGACGGAGCAACGCCGCGUGAGUGAUGAAGGUCUUCGGAUCGUAAAACUCUGUUAUUAGGGAAGAACAAAUGUGUAAGUAACUAUGCACGUCUUGACGGUACCUAAUCAGAAAGCCACGGCUAACUACGUG
rnacentral:rRNA from 1 species